rnacentral:lncRNA from 1 species
UCAAAAUAUGCAUUAUAUAAACUUUCAGCUAGGUUUAUUGGAGACUAGGUAUGCUGGGAUGAGUACUAAAGAAAAGCUCUUGUUUGGCUUAGGAAUAAGAAGAUCAGCAUUUCCUUUCAUGUAGAGAAGGUUUCUAAGGCCUACUUUCUGAUAUCUUCUUACAUAAUAUGGGAUAAUUGCAUCUUUUUAAAAAUAGACCUAAUGCCCUUUGCCUGGGGCUAAAAAGAAAGCCUUUUUGGAGGUGAAUUCGUUCUACUUUUUAAAUCUAUAUCAUAUAAGCUAAGAAUCUUUGCGAGAAGACAAGCUGGCAUGCACGUACUUUUUUCUUUUCCUGUUUUUUUGGAUGGAUGACCCAUCAAAACUUGCCAAAAAUAUAAUUGAAAUAUGCAUUUUCAUCUGAUGGAGGAGUCUAUAAAUUGUUGGGUAAUCUUUUAGAGUUUUCCAAAUCUGGCAGUCUGCUUCAUGCACCAAGAGAGAACAUUCAUGAAGAAAAUGUAUUCUUCACUAGUUACUCAAUGUGAACAAAGAGGCUUCUUCACCCAGCCAAGAACUCAGCUAUAUCCUGCAUACAAGUAAUAGCCAUUAGUAUGUAGAACAACACAGAUUUUUAUCAAAGAUGAAGUGAAACAUGUCAUGUUUGUGUUUGUGGAGGCACUGCCUCCACAAACUGACUAUGUGAGGUCAGUGAAGACAGUUCUCUGAGAUGAGGCCGAAGCUUAAGGUAGGCAGCCAUAAGGAUGGUGGGAAGUGUUAAGAACCCUGCCACUGUUGAGACCAAAUAGGAGUCUGGAUACGCGGAAGAAACCUGCAGGAGACCCAGGGGGAUGUUUGCAACAUAUGGGAAGAAGGAGCUGCCCAAGAAAGGUGGCGCCCUGUCAAAGCCAAGUCUGAAUGAGUGGUCCCAUCUGACCCAAGCCACAGUUUCAGAAGCACAGCCUUGGAGGAGUAAGGACGGUGAGGAAACAGAUGCCUAG